AGGGCUCGGCGUGGCGUCACUUCCGCUCCGCUCUAAUUGGCUGGACGCCGAGCAGGGUCCCGCGAUGCUGAGCACCUGAGUGACGGCUCCUGACCACUGCCUUCAGGAAGCCCAGGGCACAGGCGAUGGAGACCUUGUUCCCAUCUGUUUCACUCCAGGAGCAGGACCUACAGGUCCCAAGCCCGGAGUGACCGUACAGCUGGAGCGAGGGGACGAGCCCUGGGUGCACAUGCAGAAUGCCAAGGGGAGAGUGCACAUGAGAGCCAGCCACUCAGAUGAGUAAGAUUCCACUGGGUGGCUCUGCCGUGUCUCCCCUGCACCUCUCCCUCGCCUGCAGCUGGAACCUGGGUGUGGACGCUGAUGUCGAUGUCGUUGUAUGAUGUGUGUUGAGCCCCUGCUUUCAGUGCCUCUAGGUCAGAAUCUGGGUGGCACAGGAGUUGCACAGGUUCUGCCUUUCUUCACAUUCCCACCAGCAUGGGUACUAUUUUCUGCUUUUUCAUAGGAGGCAUCCUAAUAGGAGUGAAGUGAUAUUGUGUUUUUUUUUUUUUUUUAUUGGUUGUUCAAAACAUUAGAUACUGUGGUUUUGAUUUGCAUUUCCUUAAUGGCCAGUCAUGUUCAGCAUAUCUCCAGGUGUUUACUGACCAUUUGUGUAUUUUCUUUGGAGAAAUGUCUACUCAAGUCUUUUGACCAUUGUUUUAAAGAUUUUCUUUUAAGUUGUAGAUGGACACAAUUCCUUUAUUUUAUUUAAUUAUUUAUUUUUGUUUGGUGCUGGGGAUCGAACCCAGUGCUUCACACAUGCUAUGUGAGCAUUCUACCACUGAGCUAUAACCCUAGCCUCCCUUUGCCCAUUUUUUUUAAUUGAGUCUUUUUUUGCUGUUGAGUUGUAGUAGUUCUUCAUAUAUUUUGGAUAUUAGCCCCUUAUCAGAUAUAUGAUUUGAAAAUAUUUUUCUAUUUUGUCGACUAAUCUUUUCAUUCUCAUGAUAGUGUCCUAUAAUGCAAAAAAUUUUUGAUUCUGAUGAAGUCCAGUUUAUCUAAUUUUUCUUUUAUUCCCUGUGCAUUUAGGUAUCACAUGUAAGGAAUCAUUGCUAAGCACGAGUCAUUAAGUCUGCCUACCGUGUUUUCUUCUAAGGAAUUUAUAGUUUUAGAUCUUACGUUUUGGGACUUUGAUCUAUUUUGAGCUAAUUUUUUUAUAUGGCACAAGGUGAGUCCAAUGCCAUGCUUCUGUGUGUGAAUACCCAGUUUUCCCAGCAAUACUGCUCAAUAGAUUUUCCUUUCCAUGCUGCAUGGUGUAUUAGUCAGCUCGGCUGCCACAACAGAGUACCACAGACUGGAUGGCUUGAACAACAGACGUUUAUUUCUCAUAGUCAUGGAGGCUGAAGUCCAGUUGAAGGUGCCAGUUAGUUCCUGGUGAGGGCUCUCUUCCUGAUUUGCAGAUGGCUACUUUCUUGCUGUGUCCUCACAGGGCAGAGAAAAAGAGAUCUCUAGUGUCCCUUCCUCUCAUAAAAGCAUCAGCCCUAGCUGGGCAUGGUGGUACACACCUGUAAUCCCAGCCAUUCAGGAGGCUGGGGCAGGGAUUCCAAGGUUGAGGCCAUCCUGGGUCACUCAGUGGGGCCUAGAAUUUUAGGGGGGAGUGCAUGCUGGAAUGGGUGUAGCUUAGUGUAGAGCACCCUGGGUUCAAUCCCUGUACCUGAGGGGGGAAAAAAAAAAGCAACAGCCCUAUUGGAUCAGGUCCACCCCUAUAAGCUCAUCUAAUUAAUCGUUACCACCUUCUCAGGGGCCAUAUUUCCAAGUACAGUUCCAGUGUGGUUAGGAUUUCAGGAUGUGAAUUUUGGGGACCUAUUUAGUCCUUGCUUAAAACCAAUUGAUCGUAUCUGUGAAAAUUCAGUUCUGGCCUCUUUUCUUCCACUCUCCACGCCUGUCCUUAUGCCACUGUGCCAUGACUGAAUGUGGCUCAUCUGCCUGAGGUUCAUAUGUGGGAGGCCUGGUAUGUAGUGAUGUCAAGGGGCUGCAUCUCUCAGAGCAAGUGGAGCCUGGGGAAAGAUGAUUAGGUCAGGAGUGAGGAGCCAUCCUCAGGAGGAAUCAUUGCAUGUUUCAGAGCCUAGAGUUCUCUUGAGAAUGAAAGUUAUGGGUGAUCAGAAGGCAUUAUGGGGGGCUGAGUCUGUAGCUCAGUAUUGGAGUGCUUGACUAGCAUGUGUGAGGCACUGGGUUUGAUCCUCGGCACCACAUAAAAAUAAAUAAAAUAAAGAUACAUCAAAAACUAAAAAAAGAAUAAAAAAGAAAGGUAUGAAAAUACAAUAACAUUAUUUUAAAAAGGUGUUAUCGCAAUAGGAAGUGAAUUAAAAAAGGAGAUUGGUACUGAGAAUGGGGUAUUUCCUAUAAAGGCACCUGAAAAUAUGGAAGGGACUUUGGAACUGGGUAAUGGGCACAGGGUGGAAGAGUUUGGAGGAACAGCCUAGUAAAAGCCUAGAAUGCUAUAAAUGGAGAAUUAUGGGUGAUUUUGGUGAAGACUUAGUAGAUAGGAAGCUAGAAAUUCUUGGAGAUUGGUGAAGAGUUUAUGACCAGAAUGCAGAUAGAAAUAAGAACAUCCUGCUGGGAACCAGAGUAAAGGCCACCCUUGUCAGGCCACUGUGAAGAUCUCACUGCACUGUGUCCAUGCCUGAGGGCUUUGUGGUGGACCAAAUCUAAGGAUGGUGAAAACUGAAGACACUUCUAAACCAAAAAUUUAGGCUGCUGCCUGGUUACUUUCAACUGCUUAUGCUCAGAUUCAGGGGCAAAGGGGAGCAGCGUGGGAAGAUCUGGAAAAUUCACAGAGUCAAUAAAUACACAGAGGUCUGGCUAAGUUUACCAGACUGGCCCUGAACUUGAACCCUCCUGCCUCAGCCUCCUGAAUUGAUGGAAUCAAAGCAGGCCUGCAAAUAUGUCAUCCACUGCCUCUGGUCUCCAUAGUUUCCCAGAAAUCUGCUGAGCCUCAUGUGUUCGGUUCCUUACUGGGUUUCACUAAGUUGCUGAGGCUGGCCUUGAACUUGUGAUCCUUCAGCUACAGCACCGCCGCCACCCCCCCACCCCAUCCACCCUGUGUUGAAUAUUAAGUUGGGGACUAUCUGUAUACUAUUUCACAAGCAGUUGCACCAACACAUCACGUCACCAGCAGUUCUUUACCUGCCUACCAGGACACAAAGGCAGAAGAGUGUGCACAGUCCAGCUGCCACACAGCCCCCUGCACUGGACAUUGUCACCUCUGAUGAGGGUGCAGGCAUGCUUCUGUGACGGGCACUGCAUUUCACUUCUGCUGCCACUACCAAAACUCAAAACCAGGAGAAUAUCAGCUUUCAAGGGUUGACCAGCACCUGCCAAGCCGAGUCCUGGUGUGUUGUCAUCGUUCUUCAAAGAAAGGAUGAGUUACACCAUUGUUUCCUCACAACUGACAGAAGCUGGGUAUGGCUGUGGCCCAGAGAUACUCCAGAAAAAAACAGUAUGUGUAACUGCCAGACUUCUGUUAAAAAAAAGAAAAAAAUGUGGUCGUAUAUGGACAGCAUGCCUUUAUUUUUAUGUGGUGCUAAGGAUCCAACCCAGUGCCUCCCACAUGCUAGUCUUUCUACACAAAUCUUUGUACUGAAUUCAAUCGAGCUCCUAUUCUCAUCCUGAUUGGCACAUGACUGUGCUCUGCUUUUCUGCAUGAUCAGCAAUUGUGGCUUGAGUAGUGGUGGGCUCCAACCUGCAGCCACAGAGACCCCAGCUGCAGAGUCCCCUUGUGAGGGCUGGCAGCCUCCCUCCUCCCUCCACUAAGGUCUUACACCCUUAGUAGCCUCAGCUCCUUUUCAGAGGAGACUCUGAAGUGUCCCUUUGUGAGGGCAGCUUUGUGAAGUUUGACCGCGUUCACCUCAGCCUCUGAAGACUUCAUCUUGGCCCCAGGUCACACUUCAGUGAGUUCAGUUCUUCUCUGAAGUAACAACUCAUCGAUUCCAGCUUCUCUGUCAUCUCUUCCGAAAAACAUCAGUGAUCUCACCUCCUCUAGGAAGCAGUGCCCAGUGGCCUCCACUCUGUUGGCUCCCUUCAGUGACCUGAGCCCUCUGGAGAAUUCAUCUCAGUGCUCCCAACUCUGGAUUUUCAGCCUCACUGAAGUGACACCACAGUGGCCUCCUUUCCUUUCUGCAGUAAGGCGCAGACCUUGGCUCUCCUCACUGAGACACUUAGUGUUGCUCUUCUCUGCCACCCUUCUGUGAUCAGCUCCUCCUCAAGCAGCGGCUCAGCUGUACCGCAGCUCCCUGCUCAAGCCAAGGCCUCAGGGACGGGCCAUUCUUACCGAGCUCUUGUCACGUGUAACGCUGAGGACCAACACCCCAGUGCUUCUCUCUUCUCCCCAGAGGAAGAAGGAAACACCUCCACCAGGCACUGACACAUUUACGUUUGACCUUUGUUUUAUUUGCAGGUAGAUACUACUAGAAAUGGCUCUGAUAUAAACUCAGAUGUAAGAACCAUACCCUUAAAAACUGAGCAAAUAAUUCUGAACAAAUUCAAAUUUUUAAUUAUGAAUAAACCAAAUUUAUCACAGGCAUUGAAUAGUAGACUGUCUUAAGCCAGGAGUUAAACAACAACAACAACAAACCCCAAACAACUGGAGUACAAGAAUGGACUAUUAGAGCUAGUAAAAAAGAGUGAGAAUUAAAAAAAAAAAAAAA